rnacentral:rRNA from 1 species
GACGUAGGGCGCGAGCGUUGUCCGGAUUUAUUGGGCGUAAAGAGCUCGUAGGCGGCUUGUCGCGUCGAAUGUGAAAACCCGGGGCUCAACCCCGGGCCUGCAGUCGAUACGGGCAAACUAGAGUGCGGUAGGGGAGACUGGAAUUCCUGGUGUAGCGGUGAAAUGCGCAGAUAUCAGGAGGAACACCGGUGGCGAAGGCGGGUCUCUGGGCCGUAACUGACGCUGAGGAGCGAAAGCGUGGGGAGCGAACAGG